UUGNUGCUUCGGCGNGCCCGCCGUUUCGACGGCCGCCGGGGAGGCCUUGCGCCCCCGGGCCCGCGCCCGCCGAAGACCCCAACAUGAACGCUGUUCUGAAAGUAUGCAGUCUGAGUUGAUUAUCGUAAUCAGUUAAAACUUUCAACAACGGAUCUCUUGGUUCCGGCAUCGAUGAAGAACGCAGCGAAAUGCGAUAAGUAAUGUGAAUUGCAGAAUUCAGUGAAUCAUCGAGUCUUUGAACGCACAUUGCGCCCCCUGGUAUUCCGGGGGGCAUGCCUGUCCGAGCGUCAUUGCUGCCCUCAAGCACGGCUUGUGUGUUGGGCCCCCGUCCCCCUCUCCCGGGGGACGGGCCCGAAAGGCAGCGGCGGCACCGCGUCCGGUCCUCGAGCGUAUGGGGCUUUGUCACCUGCUCUGUAGGCCCGGCCGGCGCCAGCCGACACCCAACUUUAUUUUUCUAAGAGUUGACCUCGGAUCAGGUAGG
rnacentral:misc_RNA from 1 species